rnacentral:lncRNA from 1 species
GGACAAGAUGGCGGCGGCAGCUGUACAGGGCGAGAGAAGCGGUGGUAGCGGAGGCUGUAGUGGGGCUGGUGGUGCUUCCAACUGCGGGACAGGGAGUGGCCGUAGCGGCUUGUUGGAUAAGUGGAAGAUAGAUGAUAAGCCUGUAAAAAUUGACAAGUGGGAUGGAUCAGCUGUGAAAAACUCUUUGGAUGAUUCUGCCAAAAAGGUACUUCUGGAAAAAUACAAAUAUGUGGAGAAUUUUGGUCUAAUUGAUGGUCGCCUCACCAUCUGUACAAUCUCCUGUUUCUUUGCCAUAGUGGCUUUGAUUUGGGAUUAUAUGCACCCCUUUCCAGAGUCCAAACCCGUUUUGGCUUUGUGUGUCAUAUCCUAUUUUGUGAUGAUGGGGAUUCUGACCAUUUAUACCUCAUAUAAGGAGAAGAGCAUCUUUCUCGUGGCCCACAGGAAAGAUCCUACAGGAAUGGAUCCUGAUGAUAUUUGGCAGCUGUCCUCCAGUCUUAAAGGGUUUGAUGACAAAUACACCUUGAAGCUGACCUUCAUCAGUGGGAGAACAAAGCAGCAGCGGGAAGCCGAGUUCACAAAGUCCAUUGCUAAGUUUUUUGACCACAGUGGGACACUGGUCAUGGAUGCAUAUGAGCCUGAAAUAUCCAGGCUCCAUGACAGUCUUGCCAUAGAAAGAAAAAUAAAGUAGCCAAUUCUAAAAGUAGCCCUCUUUCUCCUGGAUCUUGCUGAAUUAGUGGCUUGGGGGGUGGGGGAGAUAAAAAGAACUUAAAAUGGGUAAAGUAAGAAAUGUUAAAAAGUCCCUGUUUUGUCCUGAAAUUUUAGUCUAUUCUGGAUAAAUAGGAUUUUCUGACACAGAUAUGAGAAGUUGUAGCUCUGAUGUCUAGCUGUAGUCUCCUUGAUCUGCUGAUUGCAUUAUUUUAAUUUGCUUUUCUGGGAAAGCAGUUUUGCUAAAAGCUGUACAGACUUUUUCUUUUGUACCUAGCAGUACUUUAUAUAGUAUAGCUUUGGGCCAUGUAGCAUUUUAAGACUCAAUUUUAAAAAAUUAUUAAUCUGUUGCUGACUCUUAAUUCCUAUUUCAAUAUGUGUUUCCUUGAAGAAUUCAGGAUACAACUUCUUGUGUAUGACAGCUUUCCUUCACACACUAUUUUUGUGGGUGUGUAUAUAUCUGAUUUGGGAAGAAUUUAAAAAACACAUAGCUUUUUAAUUUGUUUGAAACAGACUUUCUGCCUGUUACAUUUUGUGCUUUUAACCAAUUAAAGAAGCCAAUGGCAUUUUAGUUUUAUAUUGUGUUUCCCACUAGUAUAUCCCUGUUGAUUUGUUUGUGCCUUUUAUUAACUGCCAUUUUCUAAAAUUUUUUUCAAUAAAAGGAAGGAAGAUGUGAAAAAAAA